CACCGCGACCCCUCCCGCAACCCGCCUGGCGGCCGGGGGCAGCGUGACCCGGCCCGCUACCGUGUCACAGCUGGCGACUGACAAACAGCAGGCGACGUCGGGAGAACUCCCCGAGACACCCGAGACAUCAGCCUUCUCGCUCCGCGGCCCUGCAGGACCUGCCCGCCGGGAGCCCCGGAGUCCGCGGCAGCGCCGAGGGCCCCUCCCCCAGGCCUCUGGGCUCUGAGGGACCAUGCCUGGCCGGAUGCUGCCGCCUGGCUUCAGUGCCAUCUGCAUGUCCUCAGGGAUGACAAAGGACUCAUUGUACCAGAUGUCAAAUUCUACAAGGAGGUGAGGAGACAGAACUUGAGGAAGCCGACAGUCUUCAUCUGUCACCCAGACUGGAGUGCAGUGGCGCAAUCUUGCCUCACUACAACCUCUGCCUCCUGGGCUCAAGCGAUUUUCAUGCCUCAGCCUCCCAAGAUGCUAGGAUUACAAGUGUGUGCCACCACGCCCUGCUCCUCUGAGAAAUAAAUGAGUAAAAUGCACCCCCUGUGAGUGAGAUGAUGCAUCUGACUUGCAGGAAUAAACCAAGUGACAUCUGGAGAUCACUCAUGGAAGCUGGCCUGGAACAGGGUUGUGAUUUAGCGAGGGAAAGCCCAGUAACCUGUGGUGUUUCCUGUCUGGAAGAAGACAGUAAGACUGAGCCAGGAGUGUGAAGAACAGUGUGGCCUCUGAACCACCUGUCCCAGAGUUGGAAUGGUCACUCACUAAAAUGCAGGUCCUGGGCCCUGCUCCAUCUCUCCCAAGUCAGAACCACUGGCUGAGGGGCUGGGAAUCUGCACUUGACCAGCCCUCUCAGAUAAGUCAUCUGAACACGCAAGCUUGGUGGGCCUUGGCCCUCAGUGCAGGUGUGGGCGGCGCACGCCACCAGGACAAGGACACUGGGUCAGAGUAACCAGGUACUCUUCACAUGUUGAGGAUCACAUAUGGUUUUGUUUGAUCUGGUGCAGAAGCUAACAUUAGCUGAUUACCUAAUUGGGCGUAAUUCCUCCUUCGGGGAGUCUGAGGGAAGGGGCUCAAUGCUGGAAGUUUCCCGGUCCCGCGAAAGCAUGUCUUUGACAUCCCCAUCUUUGGAGGAUGGGACCAGCUGGGUCUUGGAGGUGGAAACGUAAUCCAAGUCCUUCCCAUUCACAGGGCUGCUGGCACCUUCCUUUCUUGCCAAGGAGCUGGAAGAAGGCACGGAAGCCCCAGGGUUCAGUCAUGGACAGUGAGUUAUCAGAUGCCAGGAUGAGUGACCUUUCUCAGCACUGACUACACUGGGAACCCCACCUCAUUCAGCUCCCAUCUUGUUCAUAUGCCUAGGUAAAAGCGCAAAUAGUGUGAUGCUAAGCCAGGCAGAUGUGGAGGAAGAAGAGGGCAUUUUUCUCCCUUUUAUCAGAACAAAGAGCCCUCGGUGGUCUUGGCAGGAGACGCUUGGGAAAAAUGGGUACAAUCUCCAGGGAUUGAAAGUGUAUGGACCUGUAGGAUGGGCCACAGGUUCUCAGGAACCACCACGGCUGCUGAGGUCUGAGUCAUACAGGCUUCCCCGGGAAGGACUGGCAGAGCCCCACACAGGGUGGUUCUGUCUGUGGAUCAAUGGUAAAGCAGGAUGGCUCUGCCCUGCUGUUCUUACUGGUCCACACCCUGUUCUCCACACCAGCUCCCAGAAAAGUAGCUGUCCUCCCUGCUGAAGUGACAGUGCUUGGUGCCUUUCUCCGAGAAGAGGCAGAUCUGAGGACCGAACUGGCAGGAGGAUGCCCAUGGCUCUUCCCAAAGGUCUGAGGAUAGAAAAUCUGUUUCUUCCUCUUUCCUCCUCCUUGCAACGAGUAUGGCUCAGGGAACUGAGCCUCAACCCAUUGAAUACUGCACUGAUUAUCCGGAAGCAGAACAGAGAGGGUUGGGGUGUGACUGCACUCAUGAAGAGGCAGGAGGAAGCCAGGGACACUGGCAUCCUCUGCUGCCUGACUCUUGUCCUGCGUGUAACAGUUUUCUACAAUCAGCUCUGGCCUGUGGCCUGUGCUCACACACUCUUGCUCACAACAACCUCAAUGACUUGG
rnacentral:lncRNA from 1 species